CAAAAGUUAUGUAUAUUGAUGGGUGGAGUCUCAAAAUCCCCUCAUAACUUCACAACCUCUUUCUCUCUGGGAGGAAGGCAAAUGGGGGAGAAACUAUCUCAUGGCACAUGACAUAGUAACUAGCACUUGUCAACUUUUUAGAUGACUCAAACUAGUACCAUUUUUCAUUGUAAUCUUUCAAAAUAUUUCAUUUUCUUAUCCUUUCACAAGAUUGCAACAUUCUGCAGUUCCGUCUCCAGAGAGUUUUACUACAGUGAUUCCUGUAUUUCUGAAUAAUAUAUUAAGAUCUAGACUACGGUGGAAAAAGUUCCAGUGAGAGUCUGAAAUCGUCACUGAUUUUUCUUCGUACUGAUAUAAACAAGCAGUGAUUCUUACAUUUCCUGGUGAAGAUCUGAAGAUCUACAUACCAGAGUAGAAGUUUCACAUUAG